rnacentral:rRNA from 1 species
CAGCCGUAAACUAUGCGCGUUAGGUGUAUCGGUGACCACGAGUUACCGAGGUGCCGAAGGGAAACCGUGAAACGUGCCGCCUGGGAAGUACGGUCGCAAGGCUGAAACUUAAAGGAAUUGGCGGGGGAGCACCACAACAGGUGGAGCCUGCGGUUUAAUUGGACUCAACGCCGGGAAGCUCACCGGAUAGGACAGCAGAAUGAUUGCCGGGCUGAAGACCCUGCCUGAAUCGCUGAGAGGAGGUGCAUGGCGUAGACGUCU